UCGCACCCAAAAAUGGCGUCAAUUUCUUUCAACAACUCAUUUAAAUUACUUUUCUCUGCGUGUGCAAAUUAAUGACAAAAGGAUUAGGAGUAUCAGCCCUGUUUAGAAAUAGUUAUUCUCUGUGGUACUCAAAAUCCAAACGAAUGCUUUGUGAAUAAAUCCGGGAAAUGCUUGCCAUAUUCUGAGAAAAGGUAUUAUUAUCAUUAUUU
ensembl:snoRNA T05A6.20 ncRNA